rnacentral:misc_RNA from 1 species
GAUGAAGAACGCAGCAAAAUGCGAUAAGUAAUGUGAAUUGCAGAAUUCAGUGAAUCAUCGAAUCUUUGAACGCACAUUGCGCCCGCUGGUAUUCCGGCGGGCAUGCCUGUUCGAGCGUCAUUUCAACCCUCAAGCCCCCGGGUUUGGUGUUGGGGAUCGGCUCUGCCCUUCUGGGCGGUGCCGCCCCCGAAAUUCAUUGGCGGUCUCGCUGCAGCCUCCAUUGCGUAGUAGCUAACACCUCGCAACUGGAACGCGGCGCGGCCAUGCCGUAAAACCCCAACUUCUGAAUGUUGACCUCGGAUCAGGUAGGAAUACCCGCUGAACUUAAGCAUAUCAAUAAGCGGAGGA